UACGUAGGGUGCAAGCGUUGUCCGGAAUUAUUGGGCGUAAAGAGCUCGUAGGCGGUCUGUCGCGUCUGCUGUGAAAACUCAGGGCUUAACCCUGAGCUUGCAGUGGGUACGGGCAGACUAGAGGUGCGGUAGGGGAGACUGGAAUUCCGUGGUGUAGCGGUGAAAUGCGCAGAUAUCAGGAGGAACACCGGUGGCGAAGGCGGGUCUCUGGGCCGAUACUGACGCUGGAGGAGCGAAAGCGUGGGAGCGAACAGG
rnacentral:rRNA from 1 species